GGCGGGAAGACCUGUUUGAUAAUUUUCAACAGAUGACCUAAAUUAUACAACAUAUGCCUAAAUCUGUUUGAUAUUUUGCAGCAAUUACACGCUUGAAUAUCCAUGUGCUUGACAACACCAAACCAUAAGAAAAUACACCACCAUAAAAAUUUUAGCAAUUAGGCUUGAAAAUCCAUGUUUCCAACUCCACCAAACCAGUAGCAAU
rnacentral:lncRNA from 1 species